rnacentral:rRNA from 1 species
AGGGUUCGAUUCUGGCUCAGGACGAACGCUGGCGGCGUGCUUAACACAUGCAAGUCGAGCGAUGAAGCUUCUUCGGAAGUGGAUUAGCGGCGGACGGGUGAGUAACACGUGGGUAACCUGCCUCAUAGAGGGGAAUAGCCUUCCGAAAGGAAGAUUAAUACCGCAUAAGAUUGUAAUAUCGCAUGAUAUAGCAAUUAAAGGAGUAAUCCGCUAUGAGAUGGACCCGCGUCGCAUUAGCUAGUUGGUGAGGUAACGGCUCACCAAGGCGACGAUGCGUAGCCGACCUGAGAGGGUGAUCGGCCACAUUGGGACUGAGACACGGCCCAGACUCCUACGGGAGGCAGCAGUGGGGAAUAUUGCACAAUGGGGGAAACCCUGAUGCAGCCAACGCCGCGUGAGUGAUGACGGUCUUCGGAUUGUAAAGCUCUGUCUUCAGGGACGAUAAUGACGGUACCUGAGGAGGAAGCCACGGCUAACUACGUGCCAGCAGCGGC